GUGACCUGCGGAGGAUCAUUAACGAGUUAGGGUCUUCCAGGCCCGACCUCCCAACCCUAUGUUUAUUGAACUUCUGUUGCUUCGGCGGGCCCGUCUCACGGCCGCCGGGGGAGUCGCCGCGAGGCACCCUCUGGCCAGCGUCCGCCGAUGGCCAACCUCAAAACUCUGAAUGAAUCGUGUCAUGAUGUCUAAGUCUAUGAUUAAAUUAAAGCAAAACUUUCAACAACGGAUCUCUUGGUUCUGGCAUCGAUGAAGAACGCAGCGAAAUGCGAUAAGUAAUGCGAAUUGCAGAAUUCCAGUGAGUCAUCGAAUCUUUGAACGCACAUUGCGCCCUUUGGUAUUCCGAAGGGCAUGCCUGUUCGAGCGUCAUUAUCACCCCUCAAGCCCCGUGCUUGGCGUUGGACGGCCGGUCGAGCGAUCGACCCCUCCGAAAGACAAUGACGGCGGCCUGUGGUUCCCCCGGUACACUGAGCUUUUCACGGAGCACGUAUCGGACUAAGGGCGCCCGGGACCCGGUCUUCUCCUCUCACCAGGAAACUUCUAAGGUUGACCUCGGAUCAGGUAGGAAUACGCGCUGAACUUAAGCAUAUCAAUAAGCGCAGGAAAAGAAACCAACAGGGAUUACCUCAGUAACGGCGAGUGAAGCGGUAAUAGCUCAAAUUUGAAAUCUGGCCUCUCGGGGUCCGAGUUGUAAUUUGUAGAGGAUGUUUUGGGUACCGCCCCGGUCUAAAUUUC
rnacentral:rRNA from 1 species